UCACCAGGCUGUAGAGCAGGCGAGGCCCUCAUUUGAUGGGACACAGCCGGUCCCUGGUAGCAGUGGUGGGGGACCCUUCUGUAGGGCUCUGACCACCUGGUACUGAAGUACCAAUUAUGCUCUCUGAGUGCUGGUUUCUUGUCACUCAGGUCUUAGCACAGAUGCCACCACCUGGGGGAGCCUGCUCAUCUGUAAGGACUUAUGUGCCCCUCACACCGCAGGGUCCAGCCCCAAGUGCUGGGCCUGCCGGGGUCCCUCGCAGGCAUGGUCCCUGCACCCCACUUGAGCCAGCCAGCACUACCCACCCUUGCGGACAUGGGCUCGGGUAGGACCUUUUGUGCACCUGGGUCUUGGCAGAUGUUUUCCUGGCUGAGACCUACCCAC
ensembl:lncRNA